UACGGGGGGGGCAAGCGUUGUUCGGAAUUACUGGGCGUAAAGGGCUCGUAGGCGGCCAACUAAGUCAGACGUGAAAUCCCUCGGCUUAACCGGGGAACUGCAUCUGAUACUGGAUGGCUUGAGUUCGGGAGAGGGAUGCGGAAUUCCAGGUGUAGCGGUGAAAUGCGCAGAUAUCAGGAAGAACACCCGUGGCGAAGGCGGCUCUCUGGGACGGUACUGACGCUGAGACGCGAAAGCGUGGGGAGCGAACAGG
rnacentral:rRNA from 1 species